CCUACGGGUGGCAGCAGUGGGGAAUAUUGGACAAUGGGGGCAACCCUGAUCCAGUCAUGCCGCGUGUGUGAAGAAGGCCCUCGGGUUGUAAAGCACUUUCAGUGAGGAAGAACGCCUGGUGGUUAAUACCCAUCAGGAAAGACAUCACUCACAGAAGAAGCACCGGCUAACUCCGUGCCAGCAGCCGCGGUAAUACGGAGGGUGCGAGCGUUAAUCGGAAUUACUGGGCGUAAAGCGCGCGUAGGUGGCUUGAUAAGCCGGUUGUGAAAGCCCCGGGCUCAACCUGGGAACGGCAUCCGGAACUGUCAAGCUAGAGUGCAGGAGAGGAAGGUAGAAUUCCCGGUGUAGCGGUGAAAUGCGUAGAGAUCGGGAGGAAUACCAGUGGCGAAGGCGGCCUUCUGGACUGACACUGACACUGAGGUGCGAAAGCGUGGGUAGCAAACAGGAUUAGAUACCCUGGUAGUC
rnacentral:rRNA from 1 species